rnacentral:rRNA from 1 species
AGCAGCCGCGGUAAUUCCAGCUCCAAUAGCGUAUAUUAAAGUUGUUGCAGUUAAAAAGCUCGUAGUUGAAUUUCGGGGUUAGUAGGCUGGUCGUGCCAAUGGUAUGUACUGGCUUUACUGAUUCCUCCUUCUUGAAGAACUGUAAUGCCAUUAGUUUGGUGUUGCAGGGAAUCAGGACUGUUACUUUGAAAAGAUUAGAGUGUUUAAAGCAGGCUUACGCUUGAAUACAUUAGCAUGGAAUAAUGAAAUAGGACGUUGAUUCUAUUUUGUUGGUUUCUAGGAUUGACGUAAUGAUUAAUAGGGAUAGUUGGGGGCAUUAGUAUUCAAUUGUCAGAGGUGAAAUUCUUGGAUUUAUUGAAGACUAACUACUGCGAAAGCAUUUGCCAAGGAUGUUUUCAUUAAUCAAGAACGAAAGUUAGGGGAUCGAAGACGAUCAGAUACCGUCGUAGUCUUAACCAUAAACUAUGCCGACUAGGGAUCGGAUGAUGUUAAUUUUUAAUGA